CAGUCGCCACGGGAAUACGGAGGGUGCAAGCGUUAAUCGGAAUUACUGGGCGUAAAGCGCACGCAGGCGGUCUGACAAGUCAGAUGUGAAAUCCCCGGGCUUAACCUGGGAACUGCAUUUGAAACUGUCAGGCUGGAGUCUUGUAGAGGGGGGUGGAAUUCCAGGUGUAGCGGUGAAAUGCGUAGAGAUCUGGAGGAAUACCGGUGGCGAAGGCGGCCCCCUGGACAAAGACUGACGCUCAGGUGCGAAAGCGUGGGGAGCAAACAGGAUUAGAUACCCCUGUAGUCCCUGUCUCUUAUAU
rnacentral:rRNA from 1 species